GUCAUACUCCCUCCGUUCGGAAUUACUUGUCUCGAAAAUAGAUGUAUCUAGAACUAAAAUACAUCUAGAUACAUCUAUUUCUACAACAAGUAAUUCUGAACGGAGGGAGUAUUAG
rfam:Triticum aestivum genome assembly, contig: Triticum_aestivum_CS42_TGACv1_scaffold_221366_3B